GAUGAACGCUGGCGGCGUGCCUAAUACAUGCAAGUCGAGCGAACAGACGAGGAGCUUGCUCCUCUGACGUUAGCGGCGGACGGGUGAGUAACACGUGGAUAACCUACCUAUAAGACUGGGAUAACUUCGGGAAACCGGAGCUAAUACCGGAUAAUAUAUUGAACCGCAUGGUUCAAUAGUGAAAGACGGUUUUGCUGUCACUUAUAGAUGGAUCCGCGCCGCAUUAGCUAGUUGGUAAGGUAACGGCUUACCAAGGCAACGAUGCGUAGCCGACCUGAGGGGGUGAUCGGCCACACUGGAACUGAGACACGGUCCAGACUCCUACGGGAGGCAGCAGUAGGGAAUCUUCCGCAAUGGGCGAAAGCCUGACGGAGCAACGCCGCGUGAGUGAUGAAGGUCUUCGGAUCGUAAAACUCUGUUAUUAGGGAAGAACAAAUGUGUAAGUAACUAUGCACGUCUUGACGGUACCUAAUCAGAAUGCCACGGCUAACUACGUG
rnacentral:rRNA from 1 species